rnacentral:rRNA from 1 species
UACAGAGGUCUCAACCGUUGUUCGGAUUCAUUGGGCGUAAAGGGUGCGUAGGCGGUCGCGUAAGUCAGGUGUGAAAUCUCAGGGCUCAACCCUGAAACUGCACUUGAUACUGCGUGGCUCGGGUACUGGAGAGGAGACUGGAAUUUACGGUGUAGCAGUGAAAUGCGUAGAUAUCGUAAGGAAGACCAGUGGCGAAGGCGAGUCUCUGGACAGCAGCUGACGCUGUGGCACGAAGGCUAGGGGAGCAAACGGG